rnacentral:rRNA from 1 species
CAGCCGCCGCGGGAAUACGUAGGUGGCCAGCGUUGUCCGGAAUUAUUGGGCGUAAAGGGCUCGCAGGCGGUUUCUUAAGUCUGAUGUGAAAGCCCCCGGCUUAACCUGGGAACUGCAUUUGUGACUGGCGGGCUAGAGUAUGGCAGAGGGCAGCGGAAUUCCGGGUGUAGCGGUGAAAUGCGUAGAUAUCCGGAGGAACACCGAUGGCGAAGGCAACUGCCUGGGCCUGAUCUGACACUGAGGCACGAAAGCGUGGGUAGCAAACAGGAUUAGAUACCCCGGUAGUCCCUGUCUCUUAUAA